rnacentral:tRNA from 1 species
GGGGAUGUGGUUCAAGUGGUAGUAUGCUCACCUGGCAUGUGCGAGGCUCUGGGUUCAAUCCUCAGCACCACA